rnacentral:ncRNA from 1 species
CAGUGGAGGAAGAUUCCACCCAGAGAGUUGUCGAUUGAUCUGGUAGCUGGCGAGCGGCUUGGACGAGCAAUCGGACGGGCGGAAGCCUCGCGACAAAGGUCGCCCUUGGGCGAUUGAGCGAUCCAGCGGGCCGUAACGUGU